rnacentral:lncRNA from 1 species
GUGUGAAAUAUAAAUCUAUCUGUUAAGAGAUACAAAAUGCAGGUCUUAACAUCAAUAUAUAACAUUAGACCUCCCAAAACACUCUAACUCUACUUGAUCAUCCUUCAGACUUCAACCCCUGUAAGGAAAACAAAACUAAAGGGCUGAGCUAAAACUCAGUGAGGUUUGCCCAGCAAGUUACAUUUAAUAAACACUUAAAUCAGUACAAUUAAGCAAGUAGUGCACAUUUCACUGUGCAAUCACUUUCAUUAAGUAAUUGAGAAAACACAUCAGUAAACAAUCACUUUUAAAAGGAUACGGUUCUCGCAUUAGAGCUACUUCAAUGUCAUUGAGCAUUCAUUUCUGUGUCAAGAGACACUCAUUUCAUUGUUAUUGUACAUUCAUUUCAAUAUCACUGCAAAUUCCGCCAAUUCGCCUCCUUAUGUCCUCCAAAACAAUAAACAAUCCACUACAUUCAAUAAUCAGUUCAAUAAUCUCCCAACCUCAUGGUAAUACUCAAGUAUAUUGAAACAUUUACCCAAAGCUACCGUCCUACCCGACCAAGCCCUUUGCUGGCUCGAAUAGUCCGUUGAAUAGAGGGUUUUGGGGCCCAGUUCAGCCGAUGCGGCGAGGCACACAUACGGCUUACAUUCAUGCACACUUACAGUAACAUUCAGUCAAUUAUCGACCUUCAAGCUCAACUAAGUCGAGUGCGAUAAAGUACACCCUCGACUUAGAAGACAAGGGACAAUUGAGAUACACUUCACAAGGAAUCAUUUAGUAAUAAUUCAUAAUAAGCACAUUUGUCACAUAAUUUCAUUUAGAUACACAUAAACAGUUAAACACAUAAAUUCGAAAAGCACUCACAAAUUAUCCAAAUAAUUUACUCUCAAGUCUCGGGUUUGUUUCCUGACUCGCAGCUACUUCCUAAGAUAAAUAUAUAAUUCCAUGGUAAAUUUAUAAUUUGUAGAUGUUCAACUAUUAUUUAAAUCAUUUGAAUUAGGUUUGACUUUAAAAUAAAAAAUAUAACAUAUUCAAUAUUUAUUCUACCUUAUUGUUUAAACUAUUAAAAUCAAGUCUGACCUUAAAAUACAAAAUAUACGCAAUAUUUAUUCCCCAAUUUAUUUCGAGACUUAUUGACUUUAUUAUCUUAAAUCAAGAAAUAUACAUACUUUCCAAAAUUAAUAAUUUAUAAAAUGUUUACAUUAGGAUUAAAUCAUUUUCUACUCCAGAUUCUAAGUUUAAAACUUAGGAAUAUUCCAUUGGUUCCCUUUUUAAAUUAGUUAAACUCUAAGUUAUUUGUAAAUUAAAUUUUAUUCCACUACAGUCGGCCCUCAAAUUUAUAGUUUUUAACAUAUGUGUAAAGACAAUAUUAAGUGAUUAGAAGCCAAUUUAGGUAUAUAACUAUCAUGAGUUUUCUUCUCAUUUGCUUUAAUUUAACUCUACUCGUGGAACUAGAUAUAGUCGUUAAAUCUCAGAGCAACCUUAGCUAUCAUUUAUGAAAGCUUACAGGGUUGGAAAUUAGAUGAAAUACUGUUCAAAAAUAGGUUUCCUCACGGCCACCAUUGUGAGGACCCGAAAAUUUUCUUAUUUUUAUAGAAUAUUACUGGAAUAUUUAAAUGAUUAUUCACUCAUUUUCUUCGAAUUAUUUAUUUCGACCAUUUUAAAUCCAUUUAUAUGGAAUGACGCCUCUUUAUAAUUUUAAAGCGUUUUGUUGAAAAAUUCGCUUUUCGAAAAUUUGAUUAGUCCGGAACGACGGGUGCAUGUUUUUCUAGGCUAUACUUGAAUAGGGAGUGUAUUAAUAUUGAAGAAUUAAGAACGAUCAAUAAUAGAUUAAGAAAGGUUAAUGGAGGAAUUAAUACUCAAUUCACGUGAGAACUCGUAAAAUUAUUAUUGUUAAAACCCCUAAUUUUGGCUCAAUUAAUUAUCUAUUUGGAUUUUUGCCCCGAAUAUUAUUUUCUAUUCUUAUUAGACCUAAGUACAUGGUUUUAUAGCUUCGUUAUAUUUUUAAAGUAUCUCGUUUCAAAAAAAAAUUAUUUUCUUAGAAACUUGUUUAGUGAAAAAGGGAAAACGUGUCUGAAAACUUUAGCCAUUUGGGAGUACAAUAAGCUCAAAUAUUUGAGACAUAUACAAUGGUCCUAAAAUACGCAAUUUUAGGCUUAAAGACUCAAGUGAUAGUUAGUGGUAUGAUCGUUACAAGAAUUUCUCAAAGGUUUCAUUUUAUUGCGCCUAAAUUGGAAAUACGUGUGCGCGCUUAAUUGAGGGACUUUGAACCAUUAUUUUGGGACAAUUAAGAAUGAAUAAUAUUUAUAUGAAUAAAUGUGCCCUAGAGGUUUAGUGCUAUGUUUUCAGACUCGGACCGGAUAUUGACUCGGCUGAGCUCAGGGGUCAGGGGUCAAUGGGUUCGACCGGGUUCAACCGGGGUCAAAUUAAAUGACAUCAUAAAUAUGUCAUAAAUAUUUAUUAAUAAUAUUUAAUCAAAAUAAGAUAUAAAAUUUAUCUUUAAAUUGGUGGUUUACAACUUCAUAAGUUUAGAUUUGUCAUAACUUCAAUGUUAUUAAUAAAAAUUAUUUUGAAAUUAAAAUAUUAUGUAAAAUAUCUAAAAGCAUGCUAAUAUCAAUAAAGGUGUAUACAUAUGUGUUUGAUGUUUCAAAGCUGUUUAACAAGAAAGUGCAAAGAAAUUAGAACAAUCAAAUAGUAAUUCAUAUAAUUUAAUGCAUAUUUACAAGUUCAAAGUUAAAUUUGUGGAGAAUAUUUAUAGACUAUGAAACAUUUUUAGGUAUGUUAAUAGUUUUUCAAUAUCCAAGGGGUUAGAAUACAAUAUUGAAAAAGCUUUUUGAACCCUACAUUAAUAUUCCCCCAAUUCCUUCCUCCUUUACCUCUAACCGCCGACAAAGGCUUUUCUAAACUAGUGCAACCUUUUCUUGUUCCUGUUCUCCGUUCAUUCCACUCUUCCUUUUUCUUUUUCUUUUUUUUUUAAAAAAAAAAUCCAAAGAAGGAUAGAACAUAGAAGGCCGCAUAAGCUCUCAAGUCUCAAGGCCAUCGGUGGCAAAAGCUCUUAGGCAGCCACUCCGAAUGUUUUGAGAAACAUUUCCCCUGUGUUUUGAGAUGGACGAAUUCGAAGAGGUUGAGCAAUCUUUAAGUUUUUCCAGCGAAUUUUUGACAAUGCUGUUGAUUUUUUAGUUCUCUUGAUAUGGAUUCAGUGCAAGAGUAAGCUUUACAAUAGACAUUGAAGUCUUGUCUGUUCUGGGUUCUGACUACAACUUCAAGAACAAAGUGGACAAGCUAGUCUUGUCCAUUCUUUCUGCUUUUCGUUUUUUUUUUUGAGUUUUUUUUUCCAUUCUUAUUUCUUAUUUCUUUUCAGGAUUUCCAUUCUUAUAUCCUUAGGUAUUUAUUUUCAAAACUAACAAAUAAUCAAACUUUUAUCUUUUUUCUUCAAUCUGCUCUUUUCUUCAUCUCUCUUUCUUUUUUUUUUUUUGGUCUUUUCCCCAUAUCUAAGAUUAAAUCUUAUUUAGAAAAAGAUAUCAAGCACUGAUUGUGGUGGCUAAAUUGAAGGAGCUGAGGAGGUGAAAAUGGGUUUUAGAGAGGUGAGAGAUCAGGAGGAUUUUAGAUGGGCAAAGAAAAAAAAAAAAAAGGCAACAAAAAGGGCAAACAAAAAAACCGGGUUCUUAUCGGUUUUACCGGUUUCCGGUCAAACCCGGUUUUGACCCGGGCUUGACCGAGUUUCUGUCAUCCGAGUUUUUAGAGCAGCUCGGACCGGACACUUGACCGGUUCCCGGUUGAACCGGUCGGACCGGCCGGUCCGGUCCGAGUUUAAAAACAUGGGUUUAGUGCACUAGUGCAACAAACUUAAGAGAAAUCGAGUACAAAACGCGCGCGUAGGCGCACUAGUUGCAAUCGAUUUUACGUACUUAAAAUAUUUGACGGCAAGCUUUCUUUAUACGCAAAGGAAUCAGAUCAAAACAUUCCUCUUUUCUUCUCAUUCUGGCCGAGCUGCAGCUGAGGCAAAACAUCUUCAAAUUUCACAAACUUCACCUCAAAAAUCUUGCUCAAACCUCCAUAGAUUCACACCAAAUUUCACAUACACUUAGCUCUACACUUGGACAACACUUUGAGCUGUAAAAGGGAGGAGCUUUCACGGUUUUCUUCAGGCUUCAAAGGGACCGAAAAUUCUGUUUAGACAAACCAUCAAAGUAGGUAAUGAUCUAAUACCUUAAACUUGUCCUAUGGAAGUUAAAUUACACUUAUGAGCUUGAAUUUGCAUAUAGAUUGUGGUUGUUGUUGGAGAAAUUGGAAAAGUGGACUCUAUGAAUUCCCAUUCUUGGGUUGCUGCUGAUUUUGUUCUUAAUGAUGUUUAUAAUGUGGAAUUAGUGUUUAAAUCAGUGGUUUGUUGAUGGAAAAGUGAUAGAAACUCACGUUAGGUGCAAAAGGCCAAAUCUGACCAUUUUACCCCUGCUCUGUUCAGUCACUUUAAUGCCGAAAUUUGAGAAUUUAAUGGCUUGAUUGUGUUGUUUAUAUGUUGUAGUAGUUGUGUAAAAAUUUUCAUUGAAAAAUACUGAGUUUUGGUUGGUCAAACGAAUUUAUUCCCAAAGCUAGUAAUCUGGAAAACAGUUUCGUCGUAAUCCAGACCAGUGUUCGUAUUUCGUCCAUAACUCCGUACUCCGACGUCGAAAUCAAGUGCCGUUAGCGGCAUUUGAAACUAUACAUUCCCAUUUUUCCAACGGUAUAUAAUGAACGUUCUGGUUCCAUGUGUGUGAACCGCACCACUCAUCUGAAUUCAGCUGCCCUGUUUCGCCGUUCUGCCGAAAUGAUUUGAUGAUACUGCAACUUUAGGCUUAAUUUCGAGCUUGUUGCAUGCUGAAACUUAAAAUGAUUUCUUCUGUGAAAUUAUAGUCCUAUGCAUGUAUUUUCUAACACUAUCAACCAUGCUCAAAUCCGAGUUAAAUUGAGUGAGUUAUGAUCAAAAUACGGUGACUGUUUUGUUCUUGAAAGCCUUGGAUUUGGACAGAUUUGACGUGACAUUUGUGGUGGUCUUACUAAAUGAAUUUCUUGAUACUAAAUGUAAGGCCCAAAACAACCAAUGCAAAGAUCAUAAACGAAACAAUAAGUAAAUAAAAAGGAAAGGAUUGCAAACCAAUUAACUACCCAACUCCUCUUGAGCUUGUAGAUUAAUUGAAACAAGCUACUUCAAGUUGAUGAAUUACAAUCACUCUUGUGUACAAUGGAAGGUUCACCUCCUCCUUGCCCCAAGCAGCACUCGGUCAAGCCAGGACGUUUUACUAUCCCUCAGGACAACCCUCACAAAGUUACACUCAUGAAAGAUUCACUCACAAAUGAAAAGCUUACAAUGAACCUCACACCACUAAAACUACAAAUAUUCUUUUUGGAGUAUUUUCUCACUAAAAUCUCUCUAGAUCUUUUGUAUCUUCAGUGUGCCAAAGUUGUUUUAAGUGUCUGACCAACCACUAUUUAUAUAGGACCAAGAAAGUGCCUCAUUAAUGCUUCCAACGGAUAGAAAGUAGCUGAACAGUCAACUAGCCGUUGGCAGUGUCGGACGUCCGAUAGCUCUGUUUUAUGCGUCCGACAGUAGGCAGAGAGUUUAAGACUUUUUCUUCAAUUCUUUCGGACGUCCGAUAGGCUGGUUUUCUGCGUCCGAAGGUAUGAUGUAGAACUGGAAAUUUUUCUUCAAUUCCUUAGGACGUCCGAUAGGCUAGUUUUCUGCGUCCGAAGAUACUCAAUGGUUGUCGGACGUCCGAUGCAGUCUUUUUGAGCGUCCGACAGUUUCAGCAUACUUUGUCUUCUUCCAAUUGCACUUGUUCAUGGAAUCAAAUAAUUUCAUAACUGAAAAUAUAUCUUGAAGAAAUAUUAGUAUCAUCCAUUUGUUUUGUAAACAUCAAAAGAUAGGGAUCAAAAUCAACAAUCUCCCCCUUUUUGAUGAUGACAAAACAAUGGAUGGAAAGAAACAAAAAUAAGUAUAAGCUCCCCCUCAAUCAUUGCAACCAAAACUUUUAAGAGCCAAACUCAUAAUCUCAAAAUAACUUCCCCUUACAAAUUGCAUCCAUUUCUCCCCCUUUUUGUCAUCAUAAGACUAAAAAUCAACUACUAUAAUCCAGCAACAAUAACAGAGAAUUCAAUAUUCCAAGAAAAAAUAGAGAAAUGACAGCAAUCACAGCAAAUCAUCAUGAGAUCAGCAUUAUUCUUUUAUCUCUCUUUUUGACAUCAUAUAGAUUCAGUAGUAUUCAAAGAUAUCAGCGAAAACUCAGAUCAAAGUAUCAAAAGAAAAAAUAUUCUGAACAAGAAUCACUGCAAUGAUUAGACAAAACCUCCUACUUGUUAAAAUUAGCAUCAUGUCUAACUAUCCGCAUGCAUUUCAUGCCUUUUUUUAUAUUCUUUCUCACAUAGCAAUCACUUUUCAUAUGACCUUUUUGACAACAGAAAUUACACAUAAUCAGGGAAUUAUUCAUAUGAACAGGUUUAAUAAAUCUUACUUGUCUUCUCCUAUGGAAAGCAAACUCAUUUGCAGCAGAAUUUAUCUUAAAAUGAGGUUUUGAUUUAUUACUUUGAAAACAGUCCUGUUUUUUAUGUUGAAGCAACUCAUUUAAAUCAUCCAUUCUUCUUUUCAAAUCAUCUUGUCCCCUUUUGAACAUUUCACAAAAACUUGUUUUUCUAUCAAGAUCCAAGUGUAAAGCAGUCUCACUUUUUUUGAAGUAAUCAUUUUCAGCUUUCAACUUUUUGUUUUGUUGAAAAAGAUUUGCAUUAUCUCGAAGCAAAAAACUAAUUUUCUAUUUUAAUUCCUUGUUUCUAACAUAAGAUUCUUUCAAACUAUCAUGCAAUUUUAUAAUGAAAGAUUCAAGAUCAUCAUCAUCUUCAUCAUCACUUUCACAUUGAGAGCUAGAAGAUGUUACCUCAUCAUCUCCAAUGGCCAUGAAAGCCAAUUGAGCAGAUUGAUCUUCCUCUUCAAUUUCACCAUCGGAAUUGCAUUCAUUCCAUGUGAAUUGAAAUUUGUUUAUUCUUGGUUUUCUUCCUUCUUGCUUCUUCAUCACUGGACAGUCACUUGCAUAGUGUCCAGAUUGGCCGCAUUCAAAGCACUGAUCAGUUUGCUUUUUGUUGAACUCUAGCUUCCCUUUGUUUCUCGAGUUGUUGAACUGAUUUGGGAAUGAAUUGCUAGGUCCACCAUUUCUGAAUCUCCUCUUGUUGAGUAUUCGUUUGAAACUUUUUGUGAUGAGAGUGAUAUCAUUGUCAUCACCUUCCACAUCUUCUUCAUCUAGGGAGGCAGAAUCAUCUUCAUCUUGUGAGGCUUUUAGAGCAAUAUUCUUUCGCACUUUUGCAUCCUCUUCCUCUUGCACCUUAGUCUUAAGUUUCAACUCAUAAGAGGUAAGAGAAUUAAUAAGAGAUUCAAUAGGCAUAGUAUUCAAAUCUCUAGCCUCCUCAAUAGCAGUCACUUUAUUUUCCCAAUCAUUGGACAAGGCAUUCAGGAUUUUUCUAUUUUUCUCACCAAGAGAAUAUUCUUUUUCCAGCACCUCUAAAUCUUUAAUGAGAUCAUUGAAUCUACAAUACAUUUGAUCAACAUUUUCAUGAGGUUCCAUCUUGAAAGAUUCAUACUUUGUAACUAGAGUGGACUUCUUUUGUUCUCUAACAUUCUCACUACCUUCAUGAAUUUCUUUCAGUUUGUCCCAAAUUUCUUUAGCUGACUUGCAACCCUUGACUCUAAUAGAUUCAUUUGAGUCUAAUGCACAAUAUAACACAUUCAUGGCUUUUGCAUUUAAGGUGAGAUGAGCUCUAUCCACAGCAGUCAGUUCACUUCUUGUUUUCGGUCUAGAUGCAUGAGUAUUUUCAUCUAUAAGAGAGGCAUCAUAUGGACCUUCACUAAUAAUAAACCAUAAUUCGAUAUCAAUAGAUUGCAAAAAGAUAAUCAUUCUUUCUUUCCAACUCAUAUAAUUUGACCCAUUAAACACAGGUGGUCUAAUAACAGAAUGUCCUUCAAAAAACAUAGCAUUAUUGGUUGUCAUCUUUACUCCAAAGCCGAUUGAGCUUAAUCUCUAGGAGACCAAGCUCUGAUACCAAUUGUAAGGCCCAAAACAACCAAUGCAAAGAUCAUAAACGAAACAAUAAGUAAAUAAAAAGGAAAGGAUUGCAAACCAAUUAACUACCCAACUCCUCUUGAGCUUGUAGAUUAAUUGAAACAAGCUACUUCAAGUUGAUGAAUUACAAUCACUCUUGUGUACAAAGGAAGGUUCACCUCCUCCUUGCCCCAAGCAGCACUCGGUCAAGCCAGGACGUUUUACUAUCCCUCAGGACAACCCUCACAAAGCUACACUCAUGAAAGAUUCACUCACAAAUGAAAAGCUUACAAUGAACCUCACACCACUAAAACUACAAAUAUUCUUUUUGGAGUAUUUUCUCACUAAAAUCUCUCUAGAUCUUUUGUAUAUUCAGUGUGCCAAAGUUGUUUUAAGUGUCUGACCAACCACUAUUUAUAUAGGACCAAGAAAGUGCCUCAUUAAUGCUUCCAACGGAUAGAAAGUAGCUGAACAGUCAACUAGCCGUUGGCAGUGUCGGACGUCCGAUAGCUCUGUUUUAUGCGUCCGACAGCAGGCAGAGAGUUUAAGACUUUUUCUUCAAUUCUUUCGGACGUCCGAUAGGCUGGUUUUCUGCGUCCGAAGGUAUGAUAUAGAACUGGAAAUUUUUCUUCAAUUCCUUAGGACGUCCGAUAGGCUAGUUUUCUGCGUCCGAAGAUACUCAAUGGUUGUCGGACGUCCGAUGCAGUCUUUUUGAGCGUCCGACAGUUUCAGCAUACUUUGUUUUCUUCCAAUUGCACUUGUUCAUGGAAUCAAAUAAUUUCAUAACUGAAAAUAUAUCUUGAAGAAAUAUUAGUAUCAUCCAUUUGUUUUGUAAACAUCAAAAGAUAGGGAUCAAGAUCAACACUAAACACCUACCAAAUGUACCAUGAAUGUUUCUUAAACUUUCCUUUCACAUAUGAACCAUGAUUGGAGGAUUUUCUUAGCCAAACGAUUGGAUUUGGGAAGAAAAGGAUUAAGGGCAGAUUGCCUUGAGAAUUUUUCCAAACUUUGGUUGAUUGGUUAACCACCUUUCCGAAGGUAUUUUUUCACGAAAUUUGAUAGAGAGAUAUCCUUCAUAUACGAGUACCAUACUACAAAAUUUGGUGUCAAUUCAAGUCCGUUUCGACACUUAACAAAAGGUCCAAAGUCGGAACCAAAUCUGAAAAUUUUGUAACAGUCUUGAAUUUUUCCCAACUUUGAGCUAUCAUAUCUUGGUGCUCGAAACUCCGAUUCUUGAUCCGUUUGUUCUGCCCUAAACCUUACUUGUACCUCUAAUUGAUCUAUAAAUUUCAAGGGCUGGUUUGCAACGAGUGAAUUCUGCCAAAUUUCCAAAGUUAGCGAAAAAUCAACCCGACUCAAUCCUGGGUGAUCUGGGACAGCAACUUUAAACUCAUUUUUGAAUACCUUCCAUUUAGAUUCGUGGAACAGUGUCUUCUAAGAACUUUUAGUAAUUUCCAAGAGGUUUCUAACGGUAUAAAUUUUUCCAAUUUUAGACUUGUAUCGAGUAAGAUACGAUUUUUCAAAGAUCCAUAUCAAAACUGAAAUUUUCCAACUUUCAAGGAAAUAGAGAUUUCCAAGAACUUUUUAUUCUUUCGACAUUAUGCAAACAUUUUAACCUCGAUUUCCAAGAUAAAAACCCAAAUGCUCCUGUACUUGAAGAAACUCUAAUUGAACCUCGAUUUACAAGUAAUUGAGGUUCGAUUUCGUGGAAUUUCCUUAGAUUGUACUAGUGUACAAUCUUCCUUGAUAAUUGGGAUAUAUGAAUGAUAAUACGUUAUUAUUUGUCCAGGCGCACACGAGGACCUUCAAGAGGAUCCUACCGUGCACACUUGAACUUCUAGAAAAUAUUUCUUCUUGAUUUGCUCGGUGAGUGUCAAGUGUAUGACUACUUGAACUCUAUGGACUUGAUUCAUGCUUGGCUUACCUGAUUACAUGCUUAGCCUACUUGGUUUUGAAAAAUGGAGUCGAGUGUGUACUUUAUCGCACUCGUUCUCAUUUGAAACAAAUAACUCAUGCUUAACAUGGUUUGCCUGAUCUACAUGACCUGAAAUACAUGCUUAGACCUGUCAAAUGCUUGAAUACAUGAUAUGGUAUGCUAUGGCUGCAUACGUCGUUGGAGUGAAUCUCCUCGACACUUACAUGACACAUGGGGGACGCCCAAACUCAUAGGCCGACCUUGGAACUCGAGCCAGCAUUGGCUUGGUCGGGAACCUCGGUGAGCCAUGAGAUUCAUAUGAUAAGCUUGAUCUAUUGGAGAGAUCUUGCUUGGCAUACUUGUGGAGUAUCGCCUCAUAAAUGUCGUGCGGGUCCGAAGCGGUGUAUGGUGGAUGGAUGAGAAGUAAGUGGUGAACUACGGAUAUGAAAUAUCAACCCGGUUGACGGAGAGUCAUCGCGGGAAGAUAUACGAAUGACAUCGGCAAAAUGUGGAACUUAGCUCCUGAGAGCUACCAUAUCCUUGAAUUGUUUCUGGUUACAUUUUUAUUGGCGUUAUUAAUUACUUGCAAGCUAUUACUUGAAUUGUUAUUUGGGUUUGUUACCUGAACUAUGUGCCUGCAUGUGUGUUCUUGGCCUCACGAGCGUUUUUGCUCACCCUAUAGAUUUGUUUUCCUUAACAGGUUUGAACCCGGAGGCGUACUGGAGAAACCCUCCUGAUGAGCUUUUGUUUAGGAUUUCUAUUAUAUUUUGGCUAUGCCCUUGGUUUUAGGUGGUACUUUUGGAAUUGAAAUGUAACUUUUGGGGCGUGAUGUAUAUUUGGGGAUUAUGAUGUACUUUGAACACCCAACGUGCGGGCUGGAUAAUGGAUGACUAUUGUUAAGUUUGAACGCUUUCGCAUUUACUGUAUUUAAAUUAUUUACGUGUGCUGUGAAGAUCGUUAAUAAGUUUGAAUGGAAUUACUUGAGUCCUGGCGAGAGCUAGGCAAGCGUCCCGCGGAUACCCUUUGGUUCACCUUAGGGAGAAGUGGGGGCGUCACAGUUGGUAUUAGAGCAUAGGCUUUAGAUCUUGUAGUGUAUCCUAGGAUUAAAGUUUAGGAUGCCUGACUGUGGGAUGAAUUUGAAUAUUAUGUGAACUAGAGGGUCUAUUGUAUCCUACGGGUUAAAGAAAUUGGUUACUUGAGAGUUUCUUACUUGGGACUUGUAGAAAUAAAAAUUGAGGAAUUAGCUGAUGUUAUAUUGAAGGAAAAUAUGGGAUGAGAGAUUAGUAAUGAAAGAUUGGACGAAUUUGAAUUAUUAUUAUACUUGUAAGUAUGGAAAGAAGUGAGACAAUUAUUAGUGCUGGCUAAAGCAGAUAAGAGACCGAGAUUUGAUGGUCAAACUCCAUGUAUCGUGAUUGUGAACCCAGAUGAAAGAGUUUCAAAGGUAUAAAAUGCAUUUUCCUGCUCAUUUACCUCCUAGAGAAAUUAUGCUUUGAAAUUCUAAAAGAAAAAUGGGGAUGUACUAGUUUUAUUUUCAAACGAUAAUUGGAAAUAAUAUAUAUAUGCUUUAAGUAUGUGUAAUUCUUCGAUUUUGGUAAAUAUGUGAAUUUUACUUGAAUUUCAAUUUAAAAAUUUGUGAAUAACUGAUGAGUUUGUUGAAAUUUUGUAUGUGAUGGGUUGAUACAAGGUUAAAAUUUUCUAAACUAGAUUUUCCCCCUUGAUUGUAUACUGGUGUAUUCUCACACUUGAAUUCAUCUAUGCUUUACAAAAUAAUAAUAAUAAUAAUAAUAAUAAUAAAAAUAUCUUGAAUUUUCGGAAGAACGGCGAACUUAUGUUUUUAUAAUGAAAAUCUUGAACUUGAUAAGAUUUUUGUUACUUUAAAUACUCUUCUUAUCUUUUAAAAUUCUUGGUUUUCAAGAAGGGUGAGCCUAUCUUUAGGUGUACGGAUUGAGGGAACUUUGAGAUAUAGAGUAACCGCAUUCAAGAACACGCAGUUAGUGUGAAUUGACUUGGUUUCCAUUUGACACGUAAGUUAGCAAGUUGUACUUAUUUCUUGGGUUUGAACUUGGAGCUUGAGGCUUUAACUAUAAAACCCUAAGACUAGUUAUUCUUGGAGAUGAUGGUGCUCUGGUUGGUGGCUUGCUUAUUAAAGAUUUUGAACUUCGAAUGGAUAACCUUUGGUUUCCACUUGUGUUAUGGUUUGAUUGGAUCUAAUUUCAUAAAGGCAUGUGAUCUGAUUGGAAUUAGUGAUAUUCGGACCCAUUGGUUUAAUUAAGGACUUAGGAAGGGUGGUGCACGCCAUGAGACCUUUUGUAUCCCGCUUGCAUAUACUUCUACAUUUUGUGACCCUUAAUUGCCUAUAUACAGUAUUUGACAUAUUGGUCUUGUUUUGUGACUUCUUAACUCGUACUAUAACCUUCGAUACAUGUAAAGAAUCAUGUCUUGAUUCUAAAUAUUUUUGCAACUUGUAUAUGCAUUAAGUUCUUUUAUGAUUAAUUAUUCCUUUUCUUGCGCUUAUAGACUCCUAUUAAGUAUGGUAGCAGGAAUAGGAAAAAGGGGUCGUGGCCGAGAGCUUAGACAACCCUGUACUCGUGAGAAAAAUUGAUGGAUGGCCUUAUAUAAUUUAAUGAGAUCCUAGUACUGAAUAUGAAUCGAGAAUAAACCAGAAGAUUAGAUCUACCAGUGUAUAAUGGAUUAACCUAGUUGGGAACUUAGUGAGAUUUUCCUGUGUGAAAUUUUAAUAACUGCUUUAUACGUAUAUUAUGAUUGGUCCUGUGGCCAUAUUUCAACUUUUGUCAAAGUUUGAACUCCAAAAGUAUUUCGUGGGUUUGGUGAGAUGACCUGAACUCAUUACCAAUUUGUUCUACUUGAACAAAAGCGCUUUCAAUUUUACUUGACUAAUACUAUACCCAGAUUCACUUGUUUUACUUUUCACAAAAUUUAUAUAUAUAUAUAUAUAUAUAUGUAUGUAUACAAAUUUUGAACUCGUUUGAGACUCGAAAUCAGAUAGAGUUCAAGUUCGAAUCUUUCUUAGGAACAUGAAUGCCUAUUUGUUAGGAAUCAGAUAUUAGAAAUGAUCGGGUUUUAUGUACCAGUAGAGUUAACUCUUGGUUGGAUAAAAGGGUGGUAAAGGUAUUGGAUCACAGGUUAUGCGAAAAUGAACCUACAUGUUUACCUAUCUUUCUUAAAGGUAUUUUCUAAAAUAUACGCCUUACUCGAACAUAGAUUUAACUCGAAACUUUGAGAAAAAGUGUUGGAACACCCUUCAUGUAUAUGUUAUGAUUAUUAUGUAUAUGUUUUAAAAAUCAUGCAUUAAGUUGCAUGAUUAAUAUUCUUAAAUCUAUUUGAGAGAUUUUAAAUAUGUAUUGAUGAUUGUGGUUAAACAUUAUUUGAAAUCUCUUACUAAGAAAAUUUAGUUUUGGGUCAUGAAGAAAAAUUUGUAUCUUUAACUCUAAUUUUGAAAAUUUUGAAUCGUAUUUUGCCACAGAUACAUUCAAAAUAGAUCAAAAGUCUUGACCUUAUCUUGUAAGUCAUGAUUGGUUUGAUUUAGACAAAAUUUUGAGGAAACGGAUUUUGGUCCUGCUAGUGCGUAACAGUUUUUUUGUUAGGAUUUGGAACUUGUUUCAUAUGGCGUAUAAUUUAUGGUUUUUUGGUUUCACUACACACGGGAGUAAGACCUUAGAAUGGAAGUACAUAUCAUUAUAUCAAGAGGUAUUACUUUAGUCGUGUGUGUGGAUUUUCUUAAGUAUCAUUCGAGGAGAGGGAAGAGUAAAUAUACCUGGAUGACUUAGAUGCGUGAGAAUUUACAGGUUGUGGAUAGUUGAGUUUCAAAUUCUGAUUUGCUACUUAUUUAGAUGCUUGAGCUGAUAGGCUAACAGUCAGGAUUAAGAAAAUGGAUGAAUGAAAAGUUUGGAAGAGAUGCGAAUAGAAAUAGAAAUUUUUCACAAGGAGUUGGAAUUCCAAACUAAAUUGGCUGAAUUCUGGGAAGAAAAAAAAAAGUCGAGAACUUAGGGUUGAGAUGGGAUCCAAUGUUUAAUCGCCAAUUUGAGAUAUUAAAAGUUGUGAGAUUUGGGUGAGUGAAAGGAAAUAUUUGAUGGCUUGAAUGAGCCUAACGAUUAGGGACCGGAUGGUAUAUUUGGAAUGGACGCUUGAGGCUAUAUAUACAUAGAUUAUUGAGAGUUGAACGAUGAGACUAUUAAGAACAAAUGCUCCAUAACCUCACAUAAACGAGAAUUAUAAUCAAGGGUCAGGAGCAGCGAAUAAGGGAUUUAAAGUAGAGUUACUACCAACCGGGAAUCCUAGAAACUGAUGUGCUUAACCACUUCCAAUUUAAGAUGGGGAUGCUUGAAUUUUCAGUUAUGCCAAUUGGGUUGACUAAUGUAUUAGCAGCAAUUAUUGCAUUAAUGCAUCAAGGUUUUAAAUCGUAAUAGGAUUAAUCUGUGAUGGCAUUUAUUGAUGAUGUAUUGAUAUACCCUAAAGUUUGAGAAGAUCAUGAAAAAAUACCUGAUGGUAGUUUUACAAACCCCGAGAGAACGCUAACUUUUGUUAAGUCCAAUAAAGGUGAGAUCGAUGGGAAGAAAUAGCCUUUCUAAGUUAUAUAAUAUCUAAGGAAGAAAUUGUUGUUAACUCAGCUUAAGUGGAAGCUGUUUAAGAGGAAAUGACUAGAAAAUCCUACCGAAAUUUGAAGUUCUUAGAGGUAGUCGAAUAUUACCUUGGUUUGAUCAGGGACUUCUAAGGAUACGAAACUUGGCAAGUUAUUUGAGAUUUUAAAUGUGAGGAAGAAUUUGAAGGUGAAAAUCGUUUAACCAGUGCACUUGUGUUGGCUUUACCGAGCGGAUAAGGUGAUUUUGUGAUUUAUACAGAUGGUUCAAAGGAUGGUUUAGAAUGUAUAUUAAUAAUAUAUGAUGAGGUGAUUGUAUAUGCCUUCUGAAAGUUAAAAUCUUCCGGAAGAAAGCAAUCAACUCAUGAUUUGGGGUGAGUUGGAAAACGUAAGUCAAUGAUUGAUCUGAUAGGCUUAACCAUGAAGGGAAUGAUAUUGUUCUAAGUAUGAAUUUCAAGGACGAAAUUCCUUUCAAGAAGGGGAGGAUGUGAGGAUCCGAAAAUUUUCUUAUUUUUAUAGAAUAUUACUGGAAUAUUUAAAUGAUUAUUCACUCAUUUUCUUCGAAUUAUUUAUUUCGACCAUUUUAAAUCCAUUUAUAUGGAAUGACGCCUCUUUAUAAUUUUAAAGCGUUUUGUUGAAAAAUUCGCUUUUCGAAAAUUUGAUUAGUCCGGAACGACGGGUGCAUGUUUUUCUAGGCUAUACUUGAAUAGGGAGUGUAUUAAUAUUGAAGAAUUAAGAACAAUCAAUAAUAGAUUAAGAAAGGUUAAUGGAGGAAUUAAUACUCAAUUCACGUGAGGACUCGUAAAAUUAUUAUUGUUAAAACCCCUAAUUUUGGCUCAAUUAAUUAUCUAUUUGGAUUUUUGCCCCGAAUAUUAUUUUCUAUUCUUAUUAGACCUAAGUACAUGGUUUUAUAGUUUCGUUAUAUUUUUAAAGUAUCUCGUUUCAAAAAAAAAUUAUUUUCUUAGAAACUUGUUUAGUGAAAAAGGGAAAACGUGUCUGAAAACUUUAGCCAUUUGGGAGUACAAUAAGCUCAAAUAUUUGAGACAUAUACAAUGGUCCUAAAAUACGCAAUUUUAGGCUUAAAGACUCAAGUGAUAGUUAGUGGUAUGAUCGUUACAAGAAUUUCUCAAAGGUUUCAUUUUAUUGCGCCUAAAUUGGAAAUACGUGUGCGCGCUUAAUUGAGGGACUUUGAACCAUUAUUUUGGGACAAUUAAGAAUGAAUAAUAUUUAUAUGAAUAAAUGUGCCCUAGAGGUUUAGUGCACUAGUGCAACAAACUUAAGAGAAAUCGAGUACAAAACGCGCGCGUAGGCGCACUAGUUGCAAUCGAUUUUACGUACUUAAAAUAUUUGACGGCAAGCUUUCUUUAUACGCAAAGGAAUCAGAUCAAAACAUUCCUCUUUUCUUCUCAUUCUGGCCGAGCUGCAGCUGAGGCAAAACAUCUUCAAAUUUCACAAACUUCACCUCAAAAAUCUUGCUCAAACCUCCAUAGAUUCACACCAAAUUUCACAUACACUUAGCUCUACACUUGGACAACACUUUGAGCUGUAAAAGGGAGGAGCUUUCACGGUUUUCUUCAGGCUUCAAAGGGACCGAAAAUUCUGUUUAGAUAAACCAUCAAAGUAGGUAAUGAUCUAAUACCUUAAACUUGUCCUAUGGAAGUUAAAUUACACUUAUGAGCUUGAAUUUGCAUAUAGAUUGUGGUUGUUGUUGGAGAAAUUGGAAAAGUGGACUCUAUGAAUUCCCACUCUUGGGUUGCUGCUGAUUUUGUUCUUAAUGAUGUUUAUAAUGUGGAAUUAGUGUUUAAAUCAGUGGUUUGUUGAUGGAAAAGUGAUAGAAACUCACGUUAGGUGCAAAAGGCCAAAUCUGACCAUUUUACCCCUGCUCUGUUCGGUCACUUUAAUGCCGAAAUUUGAGGAUUUAAUGGCUUGAUUGUGUUGUUUAUAUGUUGUAGUAGUUGUGUAAAAAUUUUCAUUGAAAAAUACUGAGUUUUGGUUGGUCAAACGAAUUUAUUCCCAAAGCUAGUAAUCUGGAAAACGGUUUCGUCGUAAUCCAGACCAGUGUUCGUAUUUCAUCCAUAACUCCGUACUCCGACGUCGAAAUCAAGUUCCGUUAGCUGCAUUUGAAACUAGACGUUCCAAUCUUUCCAACGGUGUAUAAUGAACGUUCUGGUUCUAUGUGUGUGAACCGGACCACUCAUCUGAAUUCAGCUGCCCUGUUUCGCCAUUCUGCCGAAAUGAUUUGAUGAUACUGCAACUUUAGGCUUAAUUUCAAGCUAGUUGCAUGCUGAAACUUAGAACGAUUUCUUCUGUGAAAUUAUAGUCCUAUGCAUGUAUUUUCUAACACUAUCAACCAUGCUCAAAUCCGAGUUAAAUUGAGUGAGUUAUGAUCAAAAUACGGUGACUGUUUUGUUCUUGAAAGCCUUGGAUUUGGACAGAUUUGACGUGACAUUUGUGGUGGUCUUACUAAAUGAAUUUCUUGAUACUAAACACCUACCAAAUGUACCAUGAAUGUUUCUUAAACUUUCCUUUCACAUAUGAACCAUGAUUGGAGGAUUUUCUUAGCCAAACGAUUGGAUUUGGGAAGAAAAGGAUUAAGGGCAUAUUGCCUUGAGAAUUUUUCCAAACUUUGGUUGAUUGGUUAACCACCUUUCCGAAGGUAUUUUUCCACGAAAUUUGAUAGAGAAAUACCCUUCAUAUAGGAGUACCAUACUACAAAAUUUGGUAUCAAUUCAAGUCCGUUUCGACACUUAACAAAAGGUCCAAAUUCGGAACCAAAUCUGGAAAUUUUGUAACAGUCUUGAAUUUUUCCCAACUUUGAGCUAUCAUAUCUUGGUUCUCGAAACUCCGAUUCUUGAUCCGUUUGUUCUGCCCUAAACCUUACUUGCACCUCUAAUUGAUCUAUAAAUUUCAAGGGCUGGUUUGCAACGAGUGAAUUCUGCCAAAUUUCCAAAGUUAGCGAAAAACCAACCCCGGCUCAAUCCUGGGUGAUCUGGGACAGCAACUUUAAACUCAUUUUUGAAUACCUUCCAUUUAGAUUCGUGGAAUAGUGUCUUGUAAGAACUUUUAGUAAUUUUCAAGAGGUUUCCAACGGUAUAAAGUUUUCCAAUUUUAGACUUGUAUCGAGUGAGAUACGAUUUUUCAAAGAUCCAUAUCAAAACUGAAAUUUUCCAACUUUCAAGGAAAUAGAGAUUUCCAAGAACUUUUUAUUCUUUCGACAUUAUGCAAACAUUUUAACCUCGAUUUCCAAGAUAAAAAUCCAAAUGCUCCUGUACUUGAAGAAACUCUAAUUGAACCUCGAUUUACGAGUAAUUGAGGUUCGAUUUCGUGGAAUUUCCUUAGAUUGUACUAGUGUACAAUCUUCCUUCAUAAUUGGGAUAUAUGAAUGAUAAUACGUUAUUAUUUGCCCAGGCGCACACGAGAACCUUCAAGAGGAUUCUACCGUGCACACUUGAACUUCCAGAAAAUAUUUCUUCUUGAUUUGCUCGGUGAGUGUCAAGUGUAUGACUACUUGAACUCUAUGGACUUGAUUCAUGCUUGGCUUACCUGAUUACAUGCUUAGCCUACUUGGUUUUGAAAAAUGGAGUCGAGUGUGUACUUUCUCGCACUCGUUCUCAUUUGAAACAAAUGACUCAUGCUUAACAUGGUUUGCCUGAUUUACAUGACCUGAAAUACAUGCUUAGACCUGUCAAAUGCUUGAAUACAUGAUAUGGUAUGCUAUGGCUGCAUACGUCGUUGGAGUGAAUCUCCUCGACACUUACAUGACACAUGGGGGACGCCCAAACUCAUAGGCCGACCUUGGAACUCGAGCCGGCAUUGGCUUGGUCGGGAACCUCGGUGAGCCAUGAGAUUCAUAUGAUAAGCUUGAUCUAUUGGAGAGAUCUUGCUUGGCAUACUCGUGGAGUAUCGCCUCAUAAAUGUCGUGCGAGUCCGAAGCGGUGUAUGGUGGAUGGAUGAGAAGUAAGUGGUGAACUACGGAUAUGAAAUAUCAACCCGGUUGACGGAGAGUCAUCGCGGGAAGAUAUAGGAAUGACAUCGGCAAAAUGUGGAACUUAGCUCCUGAGAACUACCAUAUCCUUGAAUUGUUUCUGGUUACAUUUUUGUUGGCGUUAUUAAUUACUUGCAAGCUAUUAUUUGAAUUGUUAUUUGGGUUUGUUACCUGAACUGUGUGCCUGCAUGUGUGUUCUUGGCCUCACGAGCGUUUUUGCUCACCCUAUAGAUUUGUUUUUCUUAACAGGUUUGAACCCGGAGGCGUACUGGAGAAACCCUCCUGAUGAGCUUUUGUUUAGGAUUUCUAUUAUAUUUUGGCUAUGCCCUUGGUUUUGGGUGGUACUUUUGGAAUUGAAAUGUAACUUUUGGGGUGUGAUGUAUAUUUGGGGAUUAUGAUGUACUUUGAACACCCGACGUGCGGGCUGGAUAAUGGAUGACUAUUGUUAAGCUUGAACGCUUUCGCAUUUACUGUAUUUAAGUUAUUUACGUGUGCUGUGAAGAUCGUUAAUAAGUUUGAAUGGAAUUACUUGAGUCCUGGCGAGAGCUAGGCAAGCGUCCCGCGGAUAUCCUUUGGUUCGCCAUAGGGAGAAGUGGGUGCGUCACAACCAUCAAGUAGAAUGCAUUCGGAAAAACAAGAGAGAGGCAACGAGAAAUGUAGCUUUGCCAAUCUCUGGUGUUUUGAUCAUAACUGAAGCUACACUUAUGGGAUUGAGGUGAAUUUUAUAGCGUCAACCAUUCUUAUGAAGACAUCGACACCCAGUUCUCACAUUUUCAGGAUCAAAAAUGGCCGGACAAAAGCACAUUCUGCUUCACUCCCUCGGCCAACCAACCUGCACUCAUUUCUACUUUAGCAUUUAGUUGAGUUUCUACUGGUUCCAAUCUUCCUUGUUGAGGUUUAAGGUCCGUAUGACAUGUUACAUUUACUGCACAGGUUUAGAAGUUAAAGUUUAUAGAGGAUCACCAAAGUUUCUUUCUUCCCCCCCCCCCUCGGUUGCAGCAAAUACUUUUUCCAGUAAAACAGUGGCUUAUCUUUUGACAUUUUCUCGCCUUUACUUCCUCAGUUUCUGGUCUCAAUCACUUAUGCAGAGGACACUCAAUCUACUGCAGGUUAUCUUAAGCUAAGCAGAGUCGUUCAUGACCAAAAUUCAGAGGAAUGCUGGGCUAAAUCCCGUGCCUGAGCUUAGCAGCAAAACCUGAUGCAUGGCAGCAUGCAUUAGACUCCAUCGAAUUCAGUUUUAUGUCCCAACUGAACGUAUAGAGGGUAAUGACUUAGCUAAAAAUUAUCCUAAAGAAAGGAUGACAGCUUAUGAUUAGAAUUCACGAGAAUACUGAAGAAAUAUCUGUUGCAUGCACUUCUUAAUGUUAUCAUCCCAAGAAAAAUUUGAUAACAGUUGCAGGUUCAGGCUUUAAUCUCAGUUUUCUGCAAUUUCCCUUUUCCUGCAAUUUUACAGUUGCUGCCCGACAUUUACUUCAGCCACAAGCUCAAAUUCCUAGCUAAAUUCGACAUGCAGCUGGUGUUUAUCCAUUUAUACCAACUAAACAGCGAGUUGUUAUAAAAUCUUACCUGUUCCCCUUAAAGUUCGAUGUUGCAGGCUGCUCAAGUUUCGGUUUCAGCUCCUCAAUUCCUAGCACUCGAUUCUCCCGUUCCUUGCAGUCCCUUCCUCAGCUCUGGCUAAUUGAUUAUGAUGCUUACCUAAGUUGUAACUGGUUUCUCUUAACCGUGCUCUCUCUCUUUUCUCACUCACUCGAGUCUGUUUUUGAAAGAAAGUAAGAAAGGACGACAGCUUUG